rnacentral:rRNA from 1 species
UGUCGUCAGCUCGUGUUGUGAAAUGUUGGGUUAAGUCCCGCAACGAGCGCAACCCUUAUCCUUUGUUGCCAGCGGUCCGGCCGGGAACUCAAAGGAGACUGCCAGUGAUAAACUGGAGGAAGGUGGGGAUGACGUCAAGUCAUCAUGGCCCUUACGACCAGGGCUACACACGUGCUACAAUGGCGCAUACAAAGAGAAGCGACCUCGCGAGAGCAAGCGGACCUCAUAAAGUGCGUCGUAGUCCGGAUUGGAGUCUGCAACUCGACUCCAUGAAGUCGGAAUCGCUAGUAAUCGUGGAUCAGAAUGCCACGGUGAAUACGUUCCCGGGCCUUGUACACACCGCCCGUCACACCAUGGGAGUGGGUUGAAAAAGAA